rnacentral:rRNA from 1 species
AGCAGCCGCGGUAAUUCCAGCUCCAAUAGCGUAUAUUAAAGUUGUUGCAGUUAAAAAGCUCGUAGUUGAACUUCGGGGUUUACCCAUUGGUCAGGCUUAAUUGUCUGUACUGGUGAGAUGAAUCUCUACCUUCUGAGGAACUUUCAUGCCGUUUAUUUGGUGUGAUGGGAAAUCAGGACUGUUACUUUGAAAAAUUAGAGUGUUUAAAGCAGGCUAACGUCUGAAUACAUUAGCAUGGAAUAAUGAAAUAGGACGGACUGAUUCUAUUUCGUUGGUUUCUAGGAUCACCGUAAUGAUUAAUAGGGAUAGUCGGGGGCAUUAGUAUUCAAUUGUCAGAGGUGAAAUUCUUGGAUUUAUUGAAGACUAACUACUGCGAAAGCAUUUGCCAAGGAUGUUUUCAUUAAUCAAGAACGAAGUUAGGGGAUCGAAGACGAUCAGAUACCGUCGUAG